ACCCGCUGGAUUUAAGCAUAUCAGUAAGCGGAGGAAAAGAAACUAACUAGGAUUGCCCCAGUAGCGGCGAGUGAACAGGCAAAAGCUCAAAGUGAAAAUCCAUUACAUAAAGUUGUGGAAUUGUAAUCUAGAGAGGCAUUCGGAGGGGAUCGGGCGUGGUAUAAGUUCCUUGGAACAGGACGUCAUAGAGGGUGAUAACCCCGUAGUCAACUACGUCUCGGAACCAACGAGUGUUUUCAAAGAGUCGGGUUGUUUGGGAUUGCAGCCCUAAAUGGGAGAUAAACUUCUUCUAAAGCUAAAUAUUUAUGGGAAACCGAUAGCGAACAAGUACUGCGAAGGAAAGGUGAAAAGAACUUUGAAAAGAGGGUUAAAAGACUUGAAAUCGUUGAGAAGAAAGUGGUAGAAGAGUAAUCAUUUGUGUACGAUAUGUGAGUCGGUGAAGGGAUUGGUAAGGUUUUAGUACUUCAUAGGCUGUACUUUGCCAAAUCCUGAACUAGCUUAUUAUUCGUAUGCAAGAGGCAAAAUGAGGUUUCACCUGGGGAAUCGGCUGUUUAGAAGACCCUUUUACUUGUAGAAGGAGCUAGGCAGUAAAACCUAGGAGGAGUCUGAGGGGCCUGCGGGCGAUUUUGCCAAAGUGGCUUCUACUGUCCCGUCUUGAAACACGGACCAAGGAGUCUAUCCAGUAUGCGAGUGUUAGGGUGGAAAAACCCGAACGCAUAAGGAAACUGAGGAUAAGCUGUUAACAGCAGCAGCCGAACCUGCGUCUCCGACAAAGGUAUCGAGCAAGAGCAUAUUUGAUAGGACCCGAAAGAUGGUGAACUUCGCUUGAGUAGGGUGAAGCCAGGGGAAACUCUGGUGAAAGCUCGAAGCGGUACUGACGUGCAAAUCGUUCGUCAAACUUGAGUGAAGGGGCGAAAGACUAAUCGAACCAUCUAGUAGCUGGUUCCCUCUGAAGUUUCUCUCAGGAUAGCUGGAACAGAAACGCAGUUUUAUUAGGUAAAGCGAAUGAUUAGAGGAAUCGGAGCUCAAAGAGUUUUGACCUAUUCUCAAACUUUAAAUUGGUAAGAGCCGGGGGUUGAUCUUAAGUGAACCCUUGGGUUGAAUGCUUGUUCCAUGUGGGCCAUUUUUGGUAAGCAGAACUGGCGAUGAGGGAUGAACCUAACGCUGAGAUAAGGUGCCUAAAUCUGCAUUCAUGAGAUCCCACAAAAGGUGUUGGUUCAUUUAGACAGCAGGACGGUGGCCCUGGAAGUCGGAAUCCGCUAAGGAGUGUGUAACAACUCACCUGCCGAAUGAACUAGCCCUGAAAAUGGAUGGCGCUGAAGUGCAGUACCGAUACUCAGCCAUUACGACAAAUGCGAGGUCGUGAUGAGUAAGAGGGCGUGUCCGUCACGUGUAGAAGCCUUUGGUGUGAACCUGGGUGGAACGGCGGAUAGUGCAGAUCUUGGUGGUAGUAGCAAAUAUUCAAAUGAGAACUUUGAAGACCGAAGUGGGGAAGGGUUCCAUGAGAACAGCAAUUGGUCAUGGGUUACUCGAUCCUAAGGCAUAGGGCAAGUCCUUGUAAUGCAAUGGGGUGUACACCUCAGCUGCCAAAAGGGAAAGGGGUUAAUAUUCCUCUAGUUGGCCGUGGAUAACAUGUGGCAACACAAAUGAGUCCGUAGACGUCGGCAUGACCCCCUGGAAGAGUUAUCUUUUCUUUUUAACUGUUUAUGGCCCUGAAAUUGGAUUAUCCAGAGAUAGGGCUGUAAGGCAGGCAGAGCAGUUCACUCUAUGAACUGUCAGGUGCGGUCAUGACGACCCUUGAAAAUACGGAGGAGAUAUUUAUAUCACGCCAAAUCGUACCCAUAACCGCAUCAGGUCUCCAAGGUU
rnacentral:rRNA from 1 species